UGUUUGAUGUUCUAACGUGGACCCGUGAUCCGGGUUGCGGACAGUGUCUGGUGGGUAGUUUGACUGGGGCGGUCUCCUCCUAAAGAGUAACGGAGGAGCACGAAGGUUGGCUAAUCCUGGUCGGACAUCAGGAGGUUAGUGCAAUGGCAUAAGCCAGCUUGACUGCGAGCGUGACGGCGCGAGCAGGUGCGAAAGCAGGUCAUAGUGAUCCGGUGGUUCUGAAUGGAAGGGCCAUCGCUCAACGGAUAAAAGGUACUCCGGGGAUAACAGGCUGAUACCGCCCAAGAGUUCAUAUCGACGGCGGUGUUUGGCACCUCGAUGUCGGCUCAUCACAUCCUGGGGCUGAAGUAGGUCCCAAGGGUAUGGCUGUUCGCCAUUUAAAGUGGUACGCGAGCUGGGUUUAGAACGUCGUGAGACAGUUCGGUCCCUAUCUGCCGUGGGCGCUGGAGAACUGAGGGGGGCUGCUCCUAGUACGAGAGGACCGGAGUGGACGCAUCACUGGUGUUCGGGUUGUCAUGCCAAUGGCACUGCCCGGUAGCUAAAUGCGGAAGAGAUAAGUGCUGAAAGCAUCUAAGCACGAAACUUGCCCCGAGAUGAGUUCUCCCUGAGACUUUAGGUCU
rnacentral:rRNA from 1 species